rnacentral:rRNA from 1 species
UACGCAGGGUGCAAGCGUUGUCCGGAAUUAUUGGGCGUAAAGAGCUCGUAGGCGGUCUGUCGCGUCGGCUGUGAAAUCCCGAGGCUCAACCUCGGGUCUGCAGUCGAUACGGGCAAACUAGAGUAUUGCAGGGGAGACUGGAAUUCCUGGUGUAGCGGUGAAAUGCGCAGAUAUCAGGAGGAACACCGGUGGCGAAGGCGGGUCUCUGGGCAAUAACUGACGCUGAGGAGCGAAAGCGUGGGGAGAGAACAGG